UUAUGGAAAACUAUUAAUUUGUAUUUUGUGUCUAGUCACCAAACUCUUGUAGACUUAACUGUAUACUCUGCAAGUAACGAUAAUUUUGUUUUCUCUUUUCUAAUAAUUAUCUCUUAUUUUUGUUCUAUAUUUUAUUGCAUUGGUUUGAAUUUCCAAGGCAGUGCUGUUGGUUUGCAGAGACAGGGUUUCACUCUGUUGCCCAGGCUGAAUGCAGUAGUAUAACCACACCUCACUGCAGUCUCACACUCAUGGGCUCAAGCAAUCCCAGCCUCAGCCUCCAGAGUGGCUACUACUACAAGUGUGUGUUACCAUCCCUGGCUAAUUUUUCAGUGUUUUGUGGAGAGUGGGGUAUAGCUAUGUGUCUGGAAUUGGUGGGUUCUUGGUCUCACUGACUUCAAGAAUCAAGCCGCUGACCCUCGCGGUGAGCAUUACAGUUCUUAAAGGCGGUGUGUCCGGAGUUUGUUCCUUCUGAUGUUCGGAUGUGUUCGCGGUUUCUUCCUUCUGGUGGGUUCGUAGUUUUGCUGGCUCAGGAGCGAAGCUGCAGACUUUCGCGGUGAGUGUUACAGCUCUUAAGGCGGUGUGUCUGGAGUUGUUCGUUCCUCCCGGUUGGUUCGUGGUCUCGCUGGCUUCAGGAGAAAAACUGCAGACUUUCACGGGAGAGGGAGAUCUGGAAAUGAAUACAGUUCAGGCAAGACGGGCAGGUGAAGAAGGCAGAAGCAGAAAGUGAAGUGAUGAAACUGCAAGUCAAGGAAUUCCAAGGAUUGCUGGCGAACACAGGAAUUUAGGAAGAGGCAAGAAAGAAUUCCUUCCCAGAGACUUCUGAGGGAAUACAGCCUUGCCGAUAGCUUAUUUCAGCCUUCUAGAUUUCAGAGCUGGGAGAGAAUGAAUGUCUGUUGUUUCAAUCUUCCAGUUUAUGGUAGUUUGUUCCUAGGAAACUAAUACGUAUAUUGUUUAUCUUUGAAAAUAGGUAUUUGAGAACAUUUCUACUUCUCUUUGACUAGGAUAUUUUGUAAAAUUAAUAAGGAAUAAGCACUCUUUAAUCAAAUAAGUUUUUUGCAUCUUGCUUGCUAAAAUGUAUGCAUUUUUUAAAAAGUAUGUAUUUUAGUUUUAAAAUUGUCUGUAUAUGUAUAUGCACAUGAAUUUAAUAUUUUAUAUAAAUCCAUAAAUGCAAUCAUGUUAUAUAUCUUGAAUUUUAUGUUUUUCAUAUUGUGGUCUUUUUCUUCUCGUUUUGCUUUGCACGCUCCUCUUCUCCUGCCCCU
rnacentral:lncRNA from 1 species